ACAAACAACGCGAAACAGCCUCUGAAGGGGUGAAGCACACUCGGGUAAAUUGAUAAUAGUAAUUAUAGGAAGCCCGCUCGCCCUGCGCCUCCCCCCCUCCUCUUUGGAGUUCAUCGAGGCACUGUCUCUUCCUCCCCCCACCUCCGCCCCCGAAUUGAGAUUUCCCAUUUUACGCAGCCCUAAGAAAUAUAAUUAUAAGCCUCUUUGGACACUGCCCCCCCCCCGCACCACCACUUCGACAGUAUUGACUUAAAUAUCUCCCCCCACUCCACUCACACCAUGCUCCCCCACACUGGUUCCCUUAAAUAGUUCCAGCAGAAAAAAAAACAUGUUUUCUUUUUCCCCCUCAAGAAAGGAAAGAGAAAGUCCAACCACUACGGCAAUACUUUUAAGCUCUACUAAAGGAUCCUAUCCUUUCUGGCUUCGAAAGUUUUGUACCUAAAAAUUGAGAGAGGCGUUGCAUUUUUUUUCAGCUGAAACUGUCAAAACUUGGAGAAGGGGAACCGCGGAGGCAGGCAAGAGAGGAAAAUCCUGAAACUCAGCGGAGGUUGGGAAGAUGCUGUGCCUCCAGGAUUAGUUUAAACAGGGGGCUAUAAAAGAUGUAACAGAUGCAAACUGUAACACAAGGGCCGUUAACCCUUUCCCUGCCGACGAGCACGCUCGGUCCCGUGCCCCGCACCCAUUGUCUCCUGUGCUAGAUGCUUUGCGGAAAACCUGGAAAACGGUUGGGGGAAAAUCUUGAAACAAGGAAAUGGUCACACAAGUGCCUGGGAUGAAACAGCUGGCCUGUCUGUAUCAGGGCUGAGACUUACACACGAUUGCAUAUAAAUACACCCUUCUCACUUCAGGCUCACAGCCUCCCUCGAAGUGAGAAAAUUAGGAAAGGAGGACGGGGACGAGCACACCCAAAAAGGAUCAAAAGAGAAAAAAAAGGGGGAAAACCUACCUGCGAAGUCUUGUUUGUAGUUUUGGCCAGAAAUGGUGAGAAGAAAAAGCAUGAAGAAGCCGCGAAGUGUGGGGGAGAAAAAGGUGGAAGCGAAGAAGCAGCUCCCGGAGCAAACUGUGCGAAACCUCCCCAAGAGUGUCGGGAGGGAGGCAGGACCGUUAUUCCUGCGGAGCAGGAGAGACCCUGAAACACGCGCCACCUAUCUUUGUGGGGAGGGAUAAUCGAAGCGCCCCGAGCGUGAGCAUCAUGUGAAAACGUGAUCGCCAAGUUUCUCUCUGGGAAAGGGUCUGGGAUAGAUUAUACCUUGAAGUCUCCGCAAACGCUUUAGUGGAAGAAAUGAAAUUCCACCUCCCUCCCUUCCUCUCUC